AUUGAACGCUGGCGGCAGGCCUAACACAUGCAAGUCGAACGAGUGGCGGACGGGUGAGUAAUGUCUGGGCAACUGCCCGAUGGCGGGGGAUAACUACUGGAAACGGUAGCUAAUACCGCAUACCAUCGGAUGUGCCCAGAGGGGAUUAGCUAGUAGGUGGGGUAACGGCUCACCUAGGCGACGAUCCCUAGCUGGUCUGAGAGGAUGACCAUCAACACUGGAACUGAUACACGGUCCAGAGUCCUACGGGAGGCAGCAGUGGGGAAUAUUGCACAAUGGGCGCAAGCCUGAUACAGCCAUGCAGCGUGUAUGAAGAAGGCCUUCGGGUUGUAAAGUACUUUCAGCGAGGAGGCGUUACUCGCAGAAGAAGCACCGGCUAACUCCGUGCCAGCAGCCGCGGUAAUUC
rnacentral:rRNA from 1 species